rnacentral:lncRNA from 1 species
AGCUCACACAGAAGAUACUUCAUGAUCCAAUAAAACGUGUCAAAAUAGUUUGGAUGUAAUAUAUGAUGUAAAAGCUAAUCUGAGUUUUUCAUUUAACUACUGUUAUUAAUUUGUACAUAUACACAUAUGUGUGUGCAAAACAUAUGCAUAUUAAACAAAAACUUGAUAUUUUUCAUCAAAAAGACCGCUUUUAUCUUAGAUGUGAAAAUAUGAAGUUUACAAAUAUAAACAUAUGCUAUAAUAUACUUGAAGUAAACAUUAGACAGUCUUGUGAUUUUACCAUUUUGAAAUGCUAAUAAAUCAUAGAAUUGAGAUUUACCUUUCAAAAAUGAAUUUUGUGCUUGUGGUACAAUUGUGGAAGUUAUUUAAAGUUGAAAUCUUGGAACAUGGAUCCCCAUUAAUUUCCUGUUUGGCUACAACAAAAAUUUGCCUUCAUGAACUUUCAAGUCCAAAACCACCACACAUACCUAAAUAUGAAUAAUUAUGCAUAAUUUUAUCAUGUUCAUCCAUUCAAUUAGUUUUGAAAUCCUUGAAGUGUGUCAACAUUCUUAGCUUUUGCUCAACAUCACAUUGCCAUUUCAAAUCUUGAUCUUUUUUUUUUUUUUUUUUUUUUUUUUUGCCUCAAUUUAUUUUAUUACUAUGUGUGCCAUAAUUCAUAGUGUAUAAAAGAGAUUACAUGAUGCGUCUCAUUUUAAAAGUUUCAAAUGAUGUUUGUGAAUUUAUAUUUUUGAAUAAGUACUGAUUUAGCAACAUCAUGAUGCAUGCAGGUUUCCAUAUUUCAAGGUUCCUCAGAAUUCUUUUGUUUUUUUUUUUUGUUUUUGUUUGUUUUUUUUCUUUUUUUACAAUCUAUCAAUUCCAUCAUUCUAAAAUUAAAAUAUAGCAUAAUCAGGCAGAAAGUGAAAUAAAAAAUGAAUAUAAAAGUCAUUCCCCAAGUUUUCAACGCAUUGCAUCUUUUCAGUAUCAAUUCAAAGCACAGAAGGUUUGGAAUUUGAAAUUGUGUGUUUCUUGCUAAUGAUGUUGAUUCUGCCAAGUGGCAAACUCACAUCCAUGUUCUUUAAUUUUGUCUUAAAUUAUUUUUGUUUGUUUAGUCCUUCUUUAAAUUAAAAUAAUCCAAAAGAAAAUAGUAGUUAAACAUUUGGCAAAAAGCAUCUAAUAAUCAAUACAACUCCAAUGACUCCCUUGAACUUCGACUCUGACCUUUGCAGAAUAUGCAAAACCACAAUGAAAAGCCAAAACACAACUUGUUAUGUUGUGAGAGUGUUGGCCAAACCCUAAUUUUCCAAACCCUAAUUUGGAACACAAAGAGUGGUGGGUGCACCCAUCAACUCUAUCUUUUGAAUAGCCAAGUUAAGCAAAGUCCUUUUGGAUUGAGCAACCUUUGUUGCGAUGGCGAUCCAUUAUGCUUUUCAGAUGGAAUGCUUGAAAAUAGGGAUUUAUAACACAUUUGGGUUAUGCUUUGCAUGUGGUGGUUUUUAAUCAAACUCCCCAUCCCCACUUGUCUAAGGUCCCAAAAUUUGGACUAGUUUGAAUGAACAAGCCACAGUAAACCUCAUGCCUACAUAAAUUUAAUAAAACAUUAC